rnacentral:lncRNA from 1 species
CAGUAUCCAACGGUCAAAAUUCCACCCACCAUCAUAAUUAAUAUGUCCGAACCUAGUUCAAGCGGCCCUUUCAUCUCCCUCUGUUAUCUUUUUCAUUAGAGAGUCCAAGAACCCUAACCAGUCGCCCUCAAAUUUCCUCCAUUAUCUCCGGUGGUGGCAACGCCAUAGACCACGCCAAUCCUUACCAAACUAACAUCAGAACUCUCUCCAUCUCCCCAUCCCAAAUAUCCAACCCUUUGCCCUCGAAUCAACUUCAUACUCUUCGAAUCUUGAAUCUGAGUUUGACCCCUAGAAAUUCGAAGUCAUUUUUCGUCAAGUCUGGUAACAUGCACGAUCAUGGAGUGUUGAUUUUUCAAACUUUUAGGUUUGGACUCAACGAAACUGAUGUCGUUCAAUUGUUCUUGACAAAGAAAAAGGGAUCGAUAUAAGUUUGGUUGGGUCUUUUGUCCCUAUUCGGUUUCAAUGUUCAAUUUGGUACGUCUCUUUCCUUUUUUGUAUUUUCUUUAUGUCGUUAUCUUAUUAUCCUCCUUUCUCCCUUUCUUUAACCUAGUUCUUAUAAUAAUCUGGUCGAAAAGUCGAUUCACCUUGUGAGUUCAAAGUUGUCCUUCUGAUCAUUAUUUUGUUUUUCUUUUUUUUUUCUUUCUUUCUUCUUCUUUGUGAAAUCCUCUUCUGUGACUUCUUUAAUUUGUUAAGCAUGACUAAGUUUGUGGUUCGUUAUUUUCACCUAGUUAAUUUAAUUAGGCUUAAUUUAGUUAAUUUCUUGCUAUGUAGAUUAAGUUAAGUGAUUCACGCACCCUCAUCGUUGUUUGAUUAUAUUUUAAAAGGUUUUCGGGUUCCUUCGUUUAGGAAAGUUUGAGUCAGUUCUUAAAUUGGGAACUCUUGCCUGAUUUUAAUUGGACUCUGAAAAAUCAAAAGUCCAAGAGGGAAUUAAACUUGGGUAACAAACCCAUAUCAAAUUAGGUCGUGGGGUUAACUUGACCCAUGUAAUUUGCUGAGGGUAAUUUCAGGGGUUUGUGGGGUUAAUUUGGGUAGUCUAGCUAAGGGAAAUCUUUAAUAACUAAUUUAAGAAGCUUCCUUGAAGCUGAAAAAAGGACUUGUCAAACAAGCUAAAAGUUUAGGGAUUAAGUAGCAAUAAUUAAAAUUAGAAAAGGUUUAAUAGGCAAAAACUGAAAUAUUUCUGCUGCCCUUGAACCUUGCCUAUAAAGGCACAUACACUUGGCACUCAAAUGAGGUUUUUUUGAAAGGAUUCAGAUUAGAGAGAACUGAAUAGAUAAAAAUUCAGAAAAACUAAAACGUUUGAAAAAUCUCACAAACUCACUGCUUCAUUCAAUUUUCUUUUGUGAUUCUAGAGUUGUCAAUUUCUAAAACAAUUUCUGGCACAUCUAGGGUAAAAAUUGACUAAAGUAGGUUUUAAAAGUUUGGUUUGAAAUCUGUUGUGGUAUUUUCUUGAUUGAAACUGGUUUUUGGACUGCUGCACUUUAGUUUCUGUUUGAAAUUGGUUAAAUUUGGGCUGACUGCUGCCAUUGCUUACUGCUGAUACUUCAUUUUCUUUUGGUUUCAUUUCCUUUGAUCAUUACCCGGUACAUCUCAAACUGUGGACAACAACUGAUUGCAAGCAUGUAUUUUGAGUGGAAAGUUGGUUGAAUCCAAGUUGUAAUUGAAUAUAUCUUUUCUGUUUCCUCUUUUCUUUCAACAUUCUAUAGUAUGAAUUAUAAUAUAUUUGCCACUAAUGUUUUCUGCUCAUUCAUGUACCACAAAGAUAUGUAGGUUCUUUUGAGAAGAAAAUGUGCUCCAAUCCGAGGUCUAGCUUAAAUGGAUUACAUUUUGUUACAUGUGUUUGGGUGGUAAAGAGAUCUGGUCGUUAGUUACACACUGUUUCAGUUUUUUCUUUUGGUGCUCAUAAACUUAAAAGAGUGCAUUCAUGUUGAUUUUGAUCCAAAUAAUUAGCAUGUUUUUUCUACUGAGUUGGCUGAUGUUAGUGUUAGUCAUUGGUUUGAGUUUCCAUGAGGUAUCUGUUUAAUUCAAAUUUGAAUCUAACAUAGAUAUCUGUUAAAUCUGAAAUAAAAAGCUACUCCUGAUGGUAUCCGAAAUGGCCUGGUAUACUAGUUUUUGGGUGAUGAUGGGGUCUAUUAGUUGUAAUUAAGUGUAAAGGGUUUAUUUACUUUGGUAAAGAUUCGAUUCGUUAACUUUGUUUUUACACGGUUUGGAUUCGUUAAUCUUUGGGCCUUGAGGUUAUAUGUAAUUGUCCCCUUAGCCCAACAACUCACUAAUUGGUUGUUGGGUCACUUCAGUAGCGAAUUGGCCCAAAGGUAUGCUCAAUUAAAAAAUUAGAAGGCUGAAUAAUUUUUCUAUGUUUAAUAUUUUAAAUACGGGGUUUUAAGUUUGCGAAAUCAAUUUUAUGUUUCAUGUUGGUACCAUUUGAUUAGCAUUCUUGAAUUGGCAAUGUGGCAUAACAAUUGGGAGUAUGAAGCUAGGACUAACGCAGGCCUAGCUGAAUAGCAGUCAGAUUCAGAUCACUAGGCGCCUUCCCUCACCAUGAAUUGGGCUCAUUUUUAGCCCAGAGCUUGAAGAUAUGGUUGAAAGGGUCUGUCCAAUUGUUUGAGUAAUGUAAAUUCCUUUUAGGUUUGUGGUUCUCCAACAUAGAUGUUUAUUCAGUAAAUUAGUAGGGUAAAACCUUUAGUUUAAUCAAUAGAAUACUUUAAGUUUUUGUGAAUUAAUUAGUGGAGGUGAGCCAUAUUAAACAAUGUAAAUAGCUUAUGGCCUUCAAACAUUUAACUUGAACUUCCUUUUAAAAUAUGGAAGCGAGGUGCACCGUGCUAAAUAAAAUCUCAAAUGCGUGGCCCUAAUUUAAUUAUUUCUUUUAAAAUCCUUAGAACUCGAGGCGUGCCAUUUAGCAAAUUUUUAAUGGUCCUCGUAAAGUUCAAAAUGCGUAGUUGCUUUAGGACGUUAUUUUAAUUAUUUACCUUCCUAAACUAGGGUGGGUAUUUCAUGUGACCCAAAUCCAAAUCUCACAACGUUAAAUAAAUGUGUCUCGGUUUGCUGGUGCAUUUCAUGUGGUGUUGCCCAAAGACGUAUUUUGGAUGACGUUGAAAUUUUCCUAAAAACAUUAAAAGCAGUUUAAUAAGUUAAAAUUAUACCAUAGGCUAAAACAUGUAUUAAAAUCAGAUAAUAAGACAACUAUAAUAGUUUAAGAGACCGUGCUAGAACCACGGAAUUCAGGGGUGCCUAACACCUUCCCUCGGGUUAACAGAAUUCUUUAUUCAGAAUUUUUGUUCGCAUACUUCAAAAGAAAUUUGAAUUUUCCUCGAUUUGGGAUUCUAAACCGGUGACUUGGGACACCAGAAAACAAACCCUCCCAAGUGGCGACUUUGAAAAAAUAAAUAAAUAAUCCAUUUUUAAUAAUGUCACUUAAAUUGGAAAAAUCCCUUAUAUACUAUCCUUCGGGGUGGUGUGUUAAAAAAGAGGUGUGACAGCUCUGGCGAGUCUACUAGGGAUCUAAACCCAGAACUUCGGUUUAGGAUUUAAGAAUUCGAGCUUAGAAUAACUGCUAUGAUUGGCUUUAUCUAUUAUCUGAUUUUCCUAUAUGUUUGAGCCUAAUAUGCUAAAUGCUUUUACCACUUUGAUAUUGUUUGAACUGUAUAUAAACUGCUAUGAAACCCUUCUUCUCUUUGAGUCUUCUAAAUCAUCUGGGAAGUGUGCACACCGUGUAACUUCUUUUCUUUCAUAGUCUUAUCCCAAAUUUUAGAAUGAGGUUCGGACAAGCUGCAAAGCCGAUGAAGCUUCUAUAUUCUUGGUACGCUGCCCCCCCCCCCCACCAGCUCGAGCUGUCUGUUCGGGUAAGCUAGGUCUAGAACAAUAAACUCAAAUUUUAAACCUAGUAUGACAAAACCUCAUACCGGAUCUCUAGUAGGAACGUUUGUUUGCAUCACGUGCAUUUGACUUAGGAGACUCAACACAGGGGUUGAGUUUGUUUAGGACAGAUGUACCCGAAAUGAAAAUACCCUCCUGAUGCAUCCUACUUGCUACUUGUGCAUUUCUUUGUUUCGUAUUUUCAUGUUGACCAGCUUGUGAAAAAUAGAAGAAAAUUGGUAAAAGAAAAUAGAAGUGUGAAGGUUAAGAGAGAUAGUUACCCGUUUUGAAAACCAAUGUCCAAAAGGUACUGAAACUCUACCGAAUUUUUGAAAAAAAUAAAAAAACUUGUUUUUAAAAAAAUGGUUGUUUUUGUUAAAUUUGCCCGACCUACGCUAGUUUGAUUCCCAUUGGUUGUGGGAUACGUAGGCAACCGUCAUCGGGUCCAACUUCCCUUAUGCAAAAAUAGUCCAGAAAAAAUAAAAUUUUUAUUUUUUAUCACAAAUAAGGAGGGUGAUGCCAUUCUUGUUUGAAACAAGCCGAAUGUCUUCAAAAGGGCGCCGGAAGGCCGUUUUGCAAGAACAACCACCUUUGGACAUUUUUAAAUUAUUAGCCACUUAGGAGGAACAUCCUUAAAAUCUUCUUCCCCAAAGUGCUGAAAGGUCGUAUUUGCAAAGAUGGAUUUUCUUUUGAAAUAAAAUUUUGUAAAGAUAGUGCUACCCUUUUGUUUUGAGUCAAAAUAAGUUAUUAAAUCACCUUAAUAAAUGUGUAGGAUGAGCAUAAAAGCAAAUGAACCCUUCGCAGCUCUUAAAGAGAUCCCCUUAUAGCUCUGCAUGUGGUGGAAUGACAUAGGAAAAGGCAGUAGAGAAACUGCGGUAAUGAUUUUGGCUGGUUUUGCCGGACAUUGAACAUCAGGCCAAGGUUGGACGUGAUUGAAGCCUUGAUAUCUUUUAGGGAUCCAACUUGCAAUGUGUUCUGCUUUUCUGACUUUGAGCUCACACCCACAUUAGAGGAAAUUGCGGGUUAUACUUGCCUUAAUGGAUACCUUUGAAGUCGAUACCUAGUGUCACCAAGACCGGUAUCUCCCAACAAAUUUCUAGAUCUGCCGAGUAUAAGUAAGGAUAUUUAGGAUGGAAAUUUAUCCGAAGGGCAUUACACUUUUCAAUUCUUGUAGCAACGCUACGGUAACCCUCAAGGCUUUGAAGCACUGAAUAUUGGUUUGACCUAUGCCUAAAAUAAAGAUAAAUGGGAGGCAAGGCGGGGUUUGGUUUUUAUAGUAGUAUUCUUGGGUGUUGUAGUAUGUCCGCGAGAAGAUGGUAAUAUAGAAAUAGGUCUCGUAGGAAUGGUUGAUGUCACAAUCAAGAAAGCUAAUGGUACUAUGGUCCCACUGAUCUUAUCUGAAAUUUACUGAGCCGUUACGAUCUGUCAAGAAUGGGCAAUUCUUCCAAGGUUGCAAUCUGCUACAACAAUUGUGGAUACAGGAGCAUCUCUACCACCAGGUUGGGUAUAUGAAUUAUGGUAUGACCUGUUUGGGUUGUAUUGAAGAAUUUUAAAGCUGAGUAGUGGGUUUUGAAUUCCUUGAGGGUACUGAGGCUUGGUUUGCACACUUAAGAUCUUUGACCGCCGUUAAAUUGAGUGGGUGUUCGGAUGACUUCCUGUCACCGAAGCAGUAUACAUGUCAGCCAAAGUGUGUUAUCUUCUCCUAAUGUCCAUCCAGAGCAUCCAACCAUAUGCUCCUCACCAGGUUUCGCGCCAACUGGGCUGAUUUCAAACCAUUCCCCACGAUGAAGAUUUGAGUAGACAUGUCAUCAAAUUGGGCCCAAACGCUGUAUUUCCAAAAGGAAGUAUUCUCUAGGUGUGGAAUGAAUGCAGAUUUCUUGAACCUAAGACUAUGGUGCGAGAUCUAGAUAGAGGUGAGGUAGACCCUAAGUACAAUGUUUGGUUUGCUAAAAGGUUUUUGAUUACCGAAAGACCUGCUAAGAGAGCCCACGUUUAACAAUUCACUAACGACUCGCAAGAGCAAUUGGUUUGGUUUGCAAAAGAAGAAAGCUACAGGGCCAACAUAGGUAAGUUAGAAGGACAAAUCAGGGAUCUCGAAUUUGCUAAGACUAUCCAAGCUGCCGUAGAUGAAGGGGAAAAGAAAAAGCUAAAUUAGGAAAAUGAGGCCCUCAGGGUUCAAAUGCAGAAAAUGAGAAUAGCAGCGAGAAACCCGGAAAGAAGCCGAGCAGAUGAAAGGCUUAUAAGCAGUCAGAGAAAAAAUUCACUUGAGAUUCAUAUUCGACUCUCAGGCCAAAGAUUUUAAAGCCGACAGGGAACAUUGUUAUGUUCUGAUUGCUCAGAUGGAGGAGGAAAUGCAACAGCUGCAAAACAAAAACUAUCACGACGCUCAGGUGUUAGAAGCCAAGAGUCACCAAAUCGGGCGUCUACUUCAGGAAAAUGGUAGGAUUUGAGAGAGGGUUAGAGCCAUAUUCGACUACACCGUCGUAAAAUGCCAAGCCUGUGAGGACAUGACGCGAACCACUUUCUUCGCUGCAAAGGUGACAUUCGACCACCAGAUAUUAAGCUAUUUAGAGCAGCCACAAGGGGAUCUCAUACGUAGGCCCAUGGCGAGAUCGAAUGAUGUCCCACGGGCCCCAGGAUUUAAAGCCUUUAAGUAUUUCUGAUUUUUUAUUUAUCGAGGUUGUACUUUGCUUUAUUUUGAGUCUGUUCUUAGUUUUAUAUUCCAAGAAAAUGAGUAGUUUAAAAUCAUUCUUAAUAGAAGUUUAGGAGUUUCAAUGAAAAUAAAAAAUUCCCAGAAAUUAUUUCUUGCAUCUAUUUUUUUGAACUACGUAAUGAUCUGAUACACGGGGUAUUAUGAUACAUAGGCAAUCCUUAAUGAAUCCGGUCAUAAUUCCAAUAAGAAAAUCAAAAAAAAAGGAGAGAAGAGAAGAAAAAUAAAAAGAUAAAAAAAAGAGAGAUGAAAAGGAAAAAGUGGAAGUUUGAAAGUGGAAUGAAGAAAAAUUGGGAAGAAUAAGUAAAUCCGGGAUGAAACAUGCAACCGUUGCAAACAUGUAGAAACUCAUUUAAAUGUAUAGGUGCAUCACACCCCAACUUGCGAUUACAUAUGUGUUAUUUGUUUCAAACUAAUCGUUUUGUUGAUGUGUUCCAGUCCAGGUUUUUACUUCAAGGUGGUUGGUUUUUGUGGUAAUCUGUAUUCGCAUCCAUACUUUAAAAGGUCAAAAUGAAGCAUUGAAAUGUCUUAAGAAAUGACUCUGCCAGCAAUUCCCAUUAUGCAUGAUAGUCCAAUCUCGGGCAUCUCGACCUCAGAAUCGGCAACUGCCGAAGAAAAUAGAAUCCUGCGUCUUUGUGUUAUGGAAAUAUGGGACGCUUCGGCAAAUUGAAGAGAGCCACCAAGAGCAAUCCCGGGAUUUCCUGAAAUCUUUCCUAGGGCGAGCAGUACCUCCAACGUCCCAAUCAGUCACCCUAAUACACCACUAGGAUACCCUACUAUCUCAACUCAUUUUGUUGGGACACCUUCCAAGGUUCGCCCCCAAGUGUUAAUAUCCGGUGCAGCUUCAAAUAUCAUCACCGCUCCACCUUGCUCGGCUACAGCACAGUCUACAUUGCCCAGGCCUAUCUUUGAUCCAUCAUCUUUUAUUUUCCAGAAACCAUCCUUCCCAAUGUAACCCACACAGUUUCCCGCCUAUAUUUACUCUCAACCACCCUAGUAUGAGUUCACUGCAGGGCAAGAAAGGGCCACCGAAACUCCGGAGCAAGAAAAGAGUGCGAGAGAGAUGAGGAGUAUGAAAUAGAGUAUUAAAAGCAUACAAUGCCUGAGUGGACAAAAAGUGUAUCCUAUGCCGACUUAUGUAUGAUCCCUCAUGUUCAUCUACCAUUGGGAUUUAAAACUCUAAAAUUUGAGAGGUAUGGUGGGCACGGUGGUCCCAUUGCCCACCUCAAAAUAUAUUUCAUCCAGCUACGAGGAGCAAGUGCAAAGGAAGAACUCCUCAUGCCCUACUUUCGAGAAAGUUUUGUUGGCGUCGCGUAUGAAUGAUACAUGGACCAAGAUAUAUCCCGCUGGCACAUCUGGGAUGACCUUGCUCGAGAUUUCGUUAGGCGGUUUCAGUACAACAUUGAUAUUGCUCCGAAUAGGAAUUCAUCGACGUAUUUGAAAAAGAAGUCCUCGGAAAGCUUACGAGAGUAUGCUGUUAAAUGGCGUGAGUAGGCCUCCAGGUUAAAGCCUCCGAUGGAUGAGAUUGAAAGGGUUACUAUUUUCCUCCAAGCCCAAGAUCCCGAUUACUUCCAAAACAUAAUGUCUGCAAUUGGUAAGACGUUCGCUGAAGCCAUCAAGAUUGGCAAAAUAGGUUAAAAUAAGUUGAAAAUAGGUCGAAUUUUGAGCCAAUCUGCUAUAAGGGCUACCUCCAAAGCCAUCAAGGGUGGUUCUGGAGGAGUAGCAAAUAGAAAGAAACAUCAAUGGCAACAUCAAGCGCAAGAAAACAUCAUACUCCCAGAUCCCUUUUUUUUGGGAACCCCGCAACACUAUUAACCCCACCAAGAUGUGACCUAUGCUCCUCAACCGUACAUGAUAAUGAAUGCUCAACCUUAUGUCCGGCCACAACAACCCUACAAUCAAAACCAAGCUCCAUUCCCUAGAAACCAACCCCUUUAUCAAGCUCAUUACAACCCCCAGCCUCCAUAACAUAAUUUCCACGUCAAUGAACCGCCCAAGAGGCCAAAUUUCACACCAAUUGAUGAAUCCUACUCCAGCGUGUCACCAAAACUUGUUCAAAUGGGAUUGAUGCAGCCUGUUCCCCAAACCUAGCAGAACCAGACAUCGCCCGCUUACAAAGCUGGCGCCCGAUGUGCCACCACUCCGGGGCAAAAGGGCAUGACACGGAUGAUUGUUGGACUAUGAAGAGAGCUAUGGAGAACCUGAUAGAACAAAGGAAAAUAGUGCUGAGGGACGAAGACAUUCCACAUAUAACCAACAACCCACUACCGGCCCAUAACAACGGGAUGGUAAUCAGAAUGAUUUGUGAGAAUAAGAAGUUUGACCCAGUAUUGAAUGCCAUCAUCGCCAUAGCUGACGUAGAAAAGAAGCCAAAAAUUUUCCCGAAGCAAGACAAGGGGGAGAAAAAGAACAAAAUCACCCCUCAGAAUUCGGAGAAGAAAAUGGAGGUUAAUACUGGGACAACGCCCCACAGAGAUGUUGUUCUCUAUGUCCCUCGAGGCCGCAAAGAAAAAUAGAUGUCAUUGAGUCCUCCCAGGAGUUCUGAACUAAACUAGAGAACCCAAAUGUAUGUGCCAUAGGGGACUUAUGUGAUGCGGGGUCAAACAAUUCUUCCAUGGCUAAGUGAGGCCGUGGUUAUUUUCCACGCACCACAAAAGCCUAUGACGGAUCCUACCGCUAUGCCUUGGAACUACAAGAAAUCAGGGGUGACUUACCAGGGCAAAGAAAUAUUAGGAGAAGUUAAAGAAAAUAAUCCGGCUGAGAAGUAUUUCAAUUUGGAAUAGGUGAAAAAUGUCACGAGAAAGCGUUUCCCAUCUAUGAAGCCGGUGAGUGUUGAAGCAUUAGAGGCAUUCUUUCAAAAGAUAAAAAUGGUAGAUUAUGAGAAAUCGACCAACUUCGAAAGUUUUCUACUCAGGUCUCUCUGUUAUCUCUAUGAACUCCACUGAAUAUCAAAAGGUAUUGAUCAAGACCCUCAAAAAAGCAUAUAUGCCUGUUGAAACCAAUGUAGAGCAGUUGGAGGGGAUGACAGAAAGAUUUUUUGCAAUCAACCAAAUUUCCUUCAGCAAGAAUGAUUUGCCCCCAGAAGGGGCCGCACACAAGAAAGCCCUUCACCUGACAGUCAAAUGCGAGGGUUACUACGUGAAAAAGGGUUAUGUUGGACGAGGGUUCUGGGGUAGAUAUUUGCCCACUCUCAACUUUGCAAUCUAUGGAAAUCGGUAUCGAGAGAAUCCAACCCAACAAUGUCUGCGUGCGUGCCUUUGAUGUCAUGAAAAGGGACACAAUAUGAGAGAUUUAUAUUAUCCUAACUAUCGGCCCAGUAGACUUCAAAGUAACCUUCCAGGUUUUGGGCAUGACACUUCCUACAACUUUCUUUUGGGGAGGCCAUGGAUUCAUGAAGCGGGGGCUGUGCCUUAUACUAAUUUGAGACUGAGGAUCAAGAGAUUCUGGUCUACAGGGAAGAUGAGAAAUCAAUAUAUCUGGACCUGUCAGUCCUAUGUCUUGAAGCAAGAGAGAGGAGUGAACACAUAGUCUAUUAGGCUUUUGAGAUUGUGGCCGCAUACCUGUGUGAAGAAGGAAACCCUUGCUCUCAACCCUUACUUCCAAAUGCAUCAAUCAUGGUUUCCAAGGAAAUGAUCAGGCAUAACUUCAAAUGAGAAGGGGCUAAAGAAAAUCAUUGCAAGGAAUAGUUGAACCUAUCACCCUGAAUGCUAGUCAAAAGUUCUUUAGGGUAGGCUUCCAACCUACACCAACUGAUAUAAAAUGGGUGGAUGGUAGAAAGAAUGAUGGAUGGAUCUUGCCUUAGCUAGUGUCGCAUCUGUAUAAAACAUUUGUCAAGCCUAAAUACAAUGAGGAAGAAGAUGAAGCCUUUACGACCGAAGAAAUUGAAGAAAUGUGUGGGGUAAUGAGGAAGAUACUGUUUGAAACCCAAAUGGUCUAGUCAGGGGAAUGCUCAAGCACAGCUGAGGUGCUAUAUGUGGGAUAUGAGGCCAAAUUGAAAAAUUAGAAGGCUACGCCAUUCCCAAUCAAGCGGGAGUACCAGUAAACCUAUCCCGCCAUUUUUUCUUCAUCAUGUGUUAUUCCAAGGUGUAACUCGGAUGUUUUUAUUUAGUUUCAUGUCUUUUAAUUUCCAAUGUAAACCAUGUUAUCUUCAGAUUCAAUGAAAUGAAAUCAAUAUUUUAUCAUCCAUCCUUCUCUCCUUCUGAUUUUUGUUAUUUUUUAUUUCUUCUUGCAGUUCUAAUAAUGUGGCUUUAAAUAACAUGACAUGCUUGCAAACUUUAUGUCCAUAUCCAAACAGACGGUCUAACUGUGAAAUAAUUAACCAAGAACAGGAAUAUGAUGAAGAAGAGGCUUUUAGGAAAAUUAAUCGAGAACUGGAACAAUUUGAGAAAAAUAAUAAGCCAAACUUAGAUGACACUGAGCCAGCUAAUCUGGGUGAUUCUGAAGAAAUCAGGGAAACCAAGAUAUGCAUUCACACAGACGAAAAAACCCGGGACGUAUGAAUCUAACUCCUAUUUGAGUUCAAAGAUAUGUUCGCAUUGUCAUAUGAUGACAUGGCAGGACUAAGUGUUGAUUUGGUGGCUCAUAAGUUGCCAAAUUACCUCAAUUACCCUCCCUAAUCCAGCAAAAUCAAUGAAAGUUUAAAAUUGUUAUUAGUGACAAAAUCAAAGAAAAAGUCAUGAAACUGUUGAAAGCAAGGGUGAUCCAAGUGGUUCGGUAUGCCACAUGGCUGGCCAUUGUAGUUCCAAUGCCAAAGAAAGACGAGAAAAACAGAGUAUGUGUGGAUUAAAGAUAUCUAAAUAACACAAGUCCUAAACAUAAAUUCCCUUUGCCAAAGACCGGCAUCUUUGUUGAUAACUGCGCCAAACAUGAGAUACAGUCCGUCGUGGACUGUUACCUAGGAUCUCACCAUGUGUUGAUGGAUGAAGAAGAUGCAAAAAAGGUAGCUUUCACUACACCCUAGGGUACAUACUAUUACAGGGUCAUGCCAUUUGGUUUGAAGAAUGCCGGGACAACCUAUAUGAGGGCCAUGAGUGCCCUUUUUCAUGAUAUGAUGCACCAAGAUAUAGAGGUGUAUUUGGACGACGUGAUCAUCAAAUCCGAAACCCAGGACGACCACACUCAAGACUUGAGGAAAUUCUUUGAAUGAUUGCGUAAAUAUGAUUUGAAGCUGAACCCAGCUAACUGUGCAUUUGGAGUCCCAUCAGGAAAACUUUAUAGUCAGCCGGAGGGGUAUUAAAUUUGAUCCAACAAAGAUAAAGUCUAUUCGGGAUUUUCCUCCUCCGAUAACCAAGAAAGAUCUGAUGAGCUUGUUAGGCAGAUUGAACUAUAUCUGCCAGUUCAUUGCUCGAUUGACAUCCACGUGUGAACCCAUAUUCAAAUUGCUAAAGAAAGAUGUUGCAAUCAAAUGGACAAAUGAAUGUCAAGAAGCUUUUGAUAAAAUCAAAGAAUAUUUGUCCAAUCCACCAGUCCCGAUCCCCCCAGAAUCAAGGAGGCCUCUGUUCUUGUAUCUAAUAGUCUUGGAGAAUUCUUUUGGCUGUGUCCUCGGGAAACAUGAUAUGACUGAAAAGAAAGAACAGGCAAUAUACUAUUUGAGUAAAAACUUCACCAGUUUUGAAGCUAAGUAUACUUUGUUGGAAAGAACCUACUGUGCUUUAACCUGGGUAUCUCAGAAGUUGAGGCAUUAUCUGCAAACCAAUGCCCACGGGAAGGUUAGCAAAAUGGCAGAUCCUGCUCACUGAAUUUGACAUAGUCUAUGUCACUAGCAUGGCAAUAAAAUCCCAGGCGUUGGCAGAUCAUUUGGCUGAAACCCGGUUGAUGAUGAAUACGAACCUUUCAACACUUACUUCUCGGAGGAAGAGGUAAAUUCGGUCGAGGCAAUAUCCGAAGAUACUACUGUCACACCUCCUUUUUUCACACUAUACCCUGCGAAGGGCAUAUAUAAGGGUGUUUUCCAAUUAAUGGACAAUCGAAACAUGAUUUAUUUAUUUAGAGAUUUCAGAGUCGCCACUUGGGAUGACUAAUGGUGUCCCAAGUCAGCGGUUUAAAUUCCGAAUCAAGGAAAAGGGUUGACUCUGUAUUACAGUCUGCGAGCCAGAAAUUCGGGUAAGAAAUUCUGUUAAACUAGGAGAAGGUGUUAAGCAUUCCCGAGUUCUGUUAGCACGGUCUCUAAUCUAUUAUAUUCGGCUUAAAAUAUCUGAUUUUAAUGCAUUUUUAUACCUAUGUGUAAAAUUUCAUUUUUAAUAGCUUUUAUUUAAUUUUAAGAAGAUUGCAACGUCGUUAAAAUGCGUUUUGAACCAUGACACAUAAUGCACCCGUAGUUUGCAACACAUUUUACUUAACGUCGAGAUUUGGAUUUGGGUUACAUAAAUGUACACCCGUAUUUAGGAAAGUACAUUAUUUAACUAACGUGUCCAAGGCAAUUGCGUGCUCUUUAAUUUGUGAUGGUCAUAGAAAGUUUACUAAAUGGCACGCCUCGAAUUCUAAGGAUUCAAAAUCAAUUAAGUGAAAUCCAUACCAUUAUUCAAUUUUAUUUGGGCAUUGGCCUACCUCAGUUCUAAAUUUAAUUAAAACUAAUUAAAACAAAGUCGUGCAAUUGUUAUAUUUAUUUGCCAUAUUUACCCUAAUUUUAAGUUAAAACGUACUUGAACCAAGCUACCAAGGGCCAUGGGCCAUUCAAAAGAUACCAGGCCUGAUGACAUGUCCGACAAUUGUCGAAGUUCUAUUCAGGGACCAGAAGUGUGUUCCUCUAAAUGAAAAUCAAUCCUAAUAUGGGCCCAACUACUAGAAGAUAAAGACCAAGGAGAAAAGUUCAAGUUCGAACCUCCACGCAUACAAACAGCACAUGAACAACAUGUGCAAGCAUCAACAAACCACUAAAUUUUCCAUUUUGAUUUUAAAAAAUCAAAUUUAAGCUAAGAUGUUAAUGGAGUGAUUAUGAACUAAUUCAAACAUGCAAUAUACAAAACCAAAUUUUGACCCAAUUUAACAACUAUGUUGAAAAUUCAGGACCAAAAUAAGAGGUCCAGGCUCACAUUUAAACCUGUUCUAAACACAUAUUGAUGCAUUAAUCGAUGAGAUAAGAAUAUUUGCAUGUCAAAAGUGAAAUAUCAUCGAGCACUUAACUAUCACAUUCCCCUUAACAUGGAUUCUAUACUAAUCAAAUUACACUUAAAGUAAAAUAUGCUCCUAUCAACACGAUUUCACAGACUAACUGUCCAAGCUUAUGAACACAUGCAAUUUCCAAAAUUACCAAGUAUUAAGCAAGACCUUUCAUGCAUAUGAGUCAACCAAACUAAUAUUUGUUACAGUAAUCCAUACUCAGGACAAACUGAAAGAGGUAUAUAAGAAUCAAACUAAGCUAAAUAAUUUCGCAAGUGCAUAAAAUUUGAUAAGCAACUGCAUGGGUACAAAUCUUUAUUUACACGAGCCAAUCUUCAUAUUUAUCCAUUUUUCAUACAUAGUAAUGUGAGAUGAAUAUCUGGGAAGCAAAGGAAAGUAGGAAUGUGAGGAUCAGUAGCAGUAGACUCGUAAUAGCAAGAAUACUCCCUGAUUUGAACAAGUAACCCCAAUUAAAUCAACUCAAACCAAUGAAACAAUGACUUUUAGUCAAAAAGUAAUCCCAGACUUCCAAAAGAAAGAGGGAGUUUAGUCCAUUUCACACCCUCACAGAAAAUCAAGGUUACUAGGCCAAAUUGGAACUCGAACUCAAAGAUUCAAAUCAAUGGAACAGUAAUUUUCCUAUUAAUGUUUUUGCUGUUCUAUUUCUGAUUUUUUUAGCUCUCUUAUUUUUGUUCAGGUCUUUUUUGAUUUCAGGAUCCUCUAAUGGAACAGUACCAGCCUCUUUUUUCUGUAUUUUUUCCUCUUCUAAGACCUGACUUGUCAGCCAAGGACAUAAUACCUUUAUAGGCAAGUAAGUAGGGUAACCCUUAGGUUUUUAUUUUGCAUUUCAGUGCCUAUUUUAUGACUUGGUAACCAAGUUACAGCCUAAAAUUUAUAGGUUGCCCCCUAUUAGAAGCUUCCUAUUCUUGUUACUAAAUAUUCCUUGUUACUAAAUAUUCCUUGGGUUCCAUUCCUCUAAAAAUUAAUCAAGACUAACAAAUAACAUGAAGAACUCUCAUAUUCAGAGAAUGAAGGUUGCGGAGAUGAGGAUGCUCAGGUGGAUGUGCNNNNNNNNNNNNNNNNNNNNNNNNNNNNNNNNNNNNNNNNNNNNNNNNNNNNNNNNNNNNNNNNNNNNNNNNNNNNNNNNNNNNNNNNNNNNNNNNNNNNNNNNNNNNNNNNNNNNNNNNNNNNNNNNNNNNNNNNNNNNNNNNNNNNNNNNNNNNNNNNNNNNNNNNNNNNNNNNNNNNNNNNNNNNNNNNNNNNNNNNNNNNNNNNNNNNNNNNNNNNNNNNNNNNNNNNNNNNNNNNNNNNNNNNNNNNNNNNNNNNNNNNNNNNNNNNNNNNNNNNNNNNNNNNNNNNNNNGGACGGAGAGAUUGACGGGGACGUCACUCAUCGUAUAGGAGCGGGGUGGUCAAAGUGGAGGCUUGCAUCAGGAGUCCUGUGUGACAAGAAAGUUUCACACAAACUCAAGGGGAAAUUCUAUAGAGCCGUGGUUAGACCUGCGAUGUUGUAUGGGGCGGAGAGCUGGCCCGUGAAAUACUCGCAUGUUCAGAGAAUGAAGGUUGCGGAGAUGACGAUGCUUAGGUGGAUGUGCGGGUUCACCAGGUUAGAUAAGAUUAAGAAUGAAGGUAUUCGAGAGAAGGUGGGGGUGGCCCCGGUGGAUGAGAAGAUGCGAGAAGCGAGGCUUAGGUGGUUCGGGAAUGUGCGGAGGAGAAGUCCUGAUGCCCCGAUGAGGAGUAUAGAGCGGCUGGCGAUUGUCGGCGUUCGGCGAGGCAGAAGGAGGCCUAAGAAGUAUUGGGGAGAGGUGAUUAGGCAUGACAUGGCUAGAAUGCGGGUUUCCGAGGACAUGAGCCUUGAUAGGAAAGUCUGUAGGUCUAGUAUCAGGAUUGUAGGAUAGAGGCUCCUAAAGUUUUUCGUACUCCUCACCCGGGUUGGGUGAGGCUUGGCAGGGCUACCCAUUAAUGAUUUGUGUUUUGACUUGUGUCUCCCUUAUGGUAGUUAGUUAUGGUAGUUACUGUAUUAUAUUAUUGCAUGCUAUUUUAUUUAUGUUUCUUAAGUUUAGAUAAUUAUUUACGCUAUUUCUGCUGGAAUUACUAAUGCUCUUUUUUUUUUGUCUUUCCUUUCCUUCACUGAGCCGGGGGUCGAUUGGAAACAGCCUCUCUGCCCUUUCGGGUAGGGGUAAGGCUCGUCUACAUAUUACCCUCCCCAGACCCCACCUGGUGGGAGUAUACUGGGUAGUUGUUGUUGUUGNNNNNNNNNNNNNNNNNNNNNCACUUUGUGGGACUAUACUGGGUAGUUGUAGUUGUUGUUGUUGUUUAACAAAUAACCUGGGCCAGAGACAGUGGAGCCUUUUGAAUUGGGUCACAAAUGACCCAAAGAUCCCAAGUAAAUACUGAAUUGGACAAAUAACACAAACCAAGGACACAAACCAAACCCUAAAUUAUUAAUUGGACAAAGAAUAGGAGCCAUUCGAGCCACAAAUUUACCAAUUCUAAUUAAUCCUUAAUGAAAGUUAAACUAAGUUACUGACGGAUUAUUGAAAUUAACUAAAGAAACGAUAAUAAAGCUCCUAAACUAAUUAUGCAUGUGAAAGAUUCGAAAAACUGGGAUAGUAAGAAAGAUCAAAAAAGAAGAAGGAGGAGAAGAUGGCAAAGCGGCGGAUAGUAAAAAAAACAAAAGAGCAGAGAUAGAGAAAUACCUAACAAUUCAAAACAACCCUGCCUGACCUUGACACUUCUACUGAAUUGACUUCAAAAAGUGAAAUUUGACGGGUUAUGGGGUCAUUUGAAGGAAAUGGACUACGGAUUUGUAAAGAGGGAGGUGAAGGGGUCCUUUGGUGUGAUUUUGGUGUCGGUUGGAGGUGGCGCCGCCAGACACGGCGGAGGAGUCAGUGGCGGCGCAAGAUGGUAGUGCCAUGAGCAUAAGGGGAUGAAGGCGAAGAUUUGGUGCAAAAAUGGUGGUCAUUGGGUUAUCACUGCCGGAGGAGGCGAUUUCCGGCCGGCGAUUUAUAGUGGUGGACGGUGGGGACGGUCGCUAGGGUUACUGAUGUGAGAGAGGAAGGGUAGGGGGUUUUGAGAGGGGUAGGGUCUGUUUGGACAUAUAUAUACUUAAGACUCCUCAAUUCUCAGUCGUUAGAUCAUAGAUCCUCAAUGGCUGAGAUUAGGUCCUAUGAAACGACGUCGUUUCAUUUAUUAGAGGUUGCUAGACCGGGUUUAGGUGUGUUUGGGCGUCAAUUUGGACGGGUUUGAGGGUGUAUAAUUGGGUUGGCCUAAAUGAAAAUCAGAUCUUUCUCUAUUCUCUUUAAGUUGCUUUUUAAAAAAAAAAUUAUUUCCCAAAUUAAAAUAAAAACCUAAAUUAAUUCCUAAACUCAAUUAUCUUACUAAAUUAGCCUAAUUAUUAAUCACAAAAUUUAUAAAAAUUAAGUAAUUCUCAAAUUCAAAAUUUAAAAGAGAAGAAUGCCAAAUGAACACAUUUUUUCUUGAUUUAUAUUUUAAAAAAUCAGAUCUUUCUCUAUUCUCUUUAAGUUGCUUUUUAAAAAAAAAAUUAUUUCCCAAAUUAAAAUAAAAACCUAAAUUAAUUCCUAAACUCAAUUAUCUUACUAAAUUAGCCUAAUUAUUAAUCACAAAAUUUAUAAAAAGUAUGUAAUUGUUAAAUUCAAAAUUUAAAAUAGAAGAAUGCCAAAUGAACGCAUAUUUUUAUUUUUAUUUUAGUAAAGCUCCUAUUAACCAAAAAUAUGAAAAUGAAUCCUAAAUUACAUUAUGAAACCAAAUUAUCCCAUAUAAUUUAAAUAAAUAGCAAGAAAAAUCACCUAACAUCAAAGUUAAAAUUAAAGAUGCGAAUUAAACUAUUUUUUAAUUUAAUUUUUGUGAAAUGACUAAUUGCUAAUUAAUUCUUGAAAAAAGUCAAAUUAACUUCUAAAUGCAUGUGCAACUCAUUUUUUGUAUUUUUUACUAAUUAAGAUGCACAAACAAAAUGCAAACAAUUAAUAUAAGAUGCCAAAAAAAUUUGCAAAAUUGCAAACAAACAAAAGAAAUUUCUUGUUUUUGAAUUUAUGGGAGUAACUCAUAUAGGGAAAAAAUCGCAUGCUCACAACUACCGCUCGGAAAAUGUUCUUUGAUAGAGCGGUCAACACAAGAGGUGUGGGAAUUGGGGCAGUGUUGAUCUCACCCACUAGUCAGCAUUAUCUACCCACAACCCGGCUUUGAUUUUUCUACACAAAUAACACUGCCGAGUAUGUAGCCUGCAUUAUGGGUAUAAAAAUGGCAAUCCACCAGUACGUCGAAGUGUUGUUAAUCAAGGGAGACUCGGAUAUGAUCAUCCGGCAAGGUCAUGGAGAAUGGGAGACCCGAGAUGUCAAGCUUAUCUCCUAUAGGCAACAUGUGGAAGAUCUGGGCAGAGGAUUCAAGUCAAUAGAGUUCAAGUACAUCACUCGUUGUCACAAUGAACUAGCCAAUGCACUUGCUACUUUGGCCUCAAUGCUGCCUUACCCAGGCAAUGCUCAUAUAGAUUCCUUGAAAAUCUAAAUUCGAGAAAUGCACAGUUACUGUAAUACGGCUAAAGCAAAACCAAAUAGUCAGCGAUGGUAUUAUGACAUCAAAAGAUUUCUGAAAAUGAAAGAAUACCCCGAGCAAGCUAGUUGGGACCAAUAGAGAACCAUUAGACGACACACAAGUGGUUUUUUCUUGAGCGAUGAUGUCUUGUACAAAAGAACUCCGGACCUCAACCUGUUAAUAUGUGUUGACGUAGAGAAGGCUGGAAGAAUCAUGAAUGAAGUACACCCGGGAGUAUGCGGACCCCACAUGAACAUGUAUGUUUUAGAAAAGAAAAUCCUUUGAGCAGACUAUUACUGGAUAACCAUGGAACGAGACUGCUUCAGAUUUGUCCGGAAGUGUCAUCAGUACCAGGUGAACGGUGAUUUGAUUCAUGCACCUCCAACAGAACUGCAUCCCAUGUCAACAUCAUGGCUAUUUGUUUCUUGGGGCAUGGACAUCAUUGGGCCAAUCGAGCCGAAAGCCUAAAAUAGGGACAGAUUCAUACUGGCCGCCAUCGACUACUUCACGAAAGAGGUUAAAGCCAUCAAUCUCAAAUCUGUCACCAAGAAAGAUGUGGUAGAUUUCGUACACUCCAAUCAUAUCUAUCGUUUUGGUAUUCCUGCAAAUCAUCACAAAUAAUUCUGCAAACUUGAAUAGUUGUUUGAUGGAGGUGAUAUGUGAACAAUUCAAAAUAUCACAUCGAAACUCCACUCCUUAUCGGCUUAAAGCCAAUGGUGUUGUGUAAGCAGCAAACAAGAACAUCAAAAAGAUUCUGAGAAAAAUGAUCCAAUGUUCCAGGCAGUGGCAUGAAAAACUUCCUUUCACAUUAUUGGGAUAUUGCACUACGGUGCACAUAUCGAUUGGAGCAACCGUAUACCUCUUGGCCUGUGGAAUGGAAGCUGUAAUACCUGCAGAAGUUGAAAUCUCUUCUCUCCGGAUCAUUGUGGAAGCAAAAAUUGAAGACAGUGAGUGGGUCAAGACCCGUCUGGAACAGUUGACCCCGAAUGAUGAAAAGCGAAUGGUUGCGGUCUGCCACGAGCAGUUGUACCAACAAAGAAUAGCCCGUGCUUAGAACAAGAAGGUGAGGCCUAGGAAUUUCAAAGUGGGGCAACUCGUGCUAAGGCACGUUUUCCCCCAUCAUCAGGAGGCGAAAGGAAAAUUCGCUCCUAAUUGGAAAGGCCCAUAUAUCAUCAAAAAGAUAUUGUCAAGAGGGGCAUUAUACUUGGGAGAUGCCGAAGGAAAUACUGUGAAGGCAGAUGUAGUAAAAAGGUAUUAUGUUUAGGCUUUCUGCAGCAACAAAAUUAUUUGACUGAGAUGGAGAAGGCUUUCAUUCUCGCUAUCCAAAAACUAUCAACAUUUUGCAAACCUUUUGAGCUAGUUACUCUUCUUUGAUUACCCUCUUUGGAACCUGAAAGUAUUAUUAAAAAAAAAGAGCAUCAAGGAAAAAGAAAAGAAAAAAAAGAGAAAACAAAGAAAAAUAGAACAACAAAAGAAAAACAAAAACAAAACUUUCUUGAACUACGUUUGACUUGAUUUAGAAAGGAUACAUAGGAAGCCUCUCUCUGGGGUUCAGUCACCACAAAAUAAAAAUCCAACUUUUCCCAAUAAGUGAAACUGGGGCAGAUGUUAUAAUGGUUUGACGAUGAUCCCGCUCGAAAGGUUCCAAAGAUGUAAUUCGGACCAAUUCUUUUACCCAAACCUUGUUCAAUUCCCUCUAAUAUAUUGGCGAAAGGUUUUCAAAAUCAGAGAACACAAUUGUUUGGAUCCGAUACAAUCAAGAUGAGAAAAAUAAAAUAAGAGUCUUAUUGGUAAAAACCUAUAGUCACCCUCAGGCAACGGUAAGCAUAGAAAUUAAAAAUGAGAGAGCCUGGUUUGUGAAAACUCGUAAAGAGCACUAUAAGGCAACACUGAGAAGAGAAUGAAAGAGGUCGAUUGGCAAAAACCCAUAAAGGUCACCGCCGAUCGAAUAGAAAACACCCCUCACCACCAUCAAAGUCUUGGCAAGGUUUUUCGAUUUAAAUAAUGGGUGGCAAGGAUUUUAUGAUAAGCUAGGAUAGUUAUGCAGAUCGGGAAUCCAGUCUAAGAAGCAUGUCCUAUCUAUUGAAGUCUGCAUGCACCCCAGAUAAGUCCUUCAUUCCUCCUCGAAAUUGACACUUCUCUUUAAAUUCAUAUUCUUACCUCUUGUUUACUUUUUAUUGAAUCCCUUUUGGUCUAGCUCUGUUUUCAAAAUUAGUACAAAGAAAAGGUGGCAAGAUUGGUUUUACAGGGCCCUGCCUAACAAAAGAUAAAGAAAAGUACCCAGCCUCAGCGGGUGCAUCAAGUCGAUCCCGACUGGCCAUGAUGGCCAAUGCUCUGAAAUUAAACUUAUGAAAAAUGAAAAGCAUUCUGAAGUCAAAAGAGUUUAGAGGAAGAAUGAAGGGAGAAGUCCAAAGCCUCAAACGGGUGAGUCGUUAUGAGAAAUUUUGAAAAGUUGAGUUCCUCGGUUUUAGGAGAGAGAUCAAUCUUCAGAAAAACAAGCAAGCAGCAGAGGUUCUCACUACCAUUUCAAACUAAAAAGUUUUCUUUGUUUAAAAUUGAAACAGGUGCAGCCUAAAGCAACCGUACAAAAGAAGGUGCAACCAAAAGGAAAAGCUACGCAAAAGCUAGAACAGCUUCGCAGUAAUAAUCAACCCAAAAGGGAUGUUUUCCUCCAAAUUCUUUCCUGAAUUUUAGUGAAAUGAUAUUGAAAUGAAACAGGAAAAUGAAAUAGAAGAAAUAAAUAAACAAGAAAAUCCAAAAAAAAAAAUGAUAGUUUAGGAUCACCAAUAUCAAUUCUUACUUUUUUACCAACAUUUGGGCUCCAAUCCUUUAGUUGAGUUUUUUGAUACAUGGCCUCCAUUCCCUAGUCGUCUUUUUACCAACAGUAGGGCUUCAACCCUUGAUUUGAGUUUUUAGACAUAGACCUCCAUUCCCUAGUCACCUUUUACCACUAUUAGGGCUCCAAUCCCUGAGUUGAAUUUUUAGACAUAGGGCCUCCAUUCCUAGUCGCCUUUUCCAAACAUUAGGGCACCGAUCCCAGAGUUGAGAUUUAUAGACGUAUGGCCUCCAUUCCCAAGUCAUCUUUUCACCAAUAUUGGGGUUCCAAUCUCUGAGUUGAGUUUUUAUACAUAUGGACUCCAUUCCCUAGUUGCCUUUCACCAACAUUAGGGCUCCAAUUCUUGAGUUGAGUUUUAAGGCAUAGAGUUUCCAUUUGCUAGUCGCCUUUUUACCAACAUUAGGGCUCCAAUCCCUAAGUUGAGUUUUUAGACAUAGGGCCUCCAUUCCUUAGUGUCCUUUUUACCAAUAUUAAGGCUUCAAUCCCUGAGUUGAUUUUUUAGGCAUACGACAUCCAUUCCUUAGUCGCCUUUUACAAAUAUUAGGGCUCCAACCCCUGAGUACAAUUUUUAGACAUAGGGCAUCCAUUCCCUAGUCGCCUUUUUACAUAUAUUAAGACUCCAAUCCCUGAGUUGAGUUUUUAGACAUAGGGUCUCCAUUCUUUAGUCGCCUUUUACCAACAUUAGGGCUCCAAUCCCUGAGUUGAGUUUUUAGACAUACGGUCUCCGUUCGCUAGUCGCCUUUCUACCAACAUUUGGGAUGCAAUCCCUGAGUUGAGUUUUUAGAUAUAGGGCCUCCAUUCCCCAGUCGCCUUUUUACCAGCAUUAGGGCUCCAAUCCCUGAGUUGAGUUUUUAGACAUAGGGCCUCCAUUCCUUAGUCACAUUUUUACCAAUAUUCGGGCUCCAAUCCCGGAGUUGAGAUUUUCAGACAUAAGACCUCCAUUCUUUAGUCACCUUUUACCAACAUUAGGGCUCCAAUCCUUGAGUUGCAUUUUUAGACAUAGGGCUUCCAUUCCCUACUAGAUUUUUCACCAACAUUAUGGCUCCAAUCAAUGAGUUGAGUUUUAGACAUAAGGCUUCUAUUCCCUAAUCGCUUUUUUACGAACAUUAGUGCUUCAAUUCCUCUGUUGAAUUUUUAGACAUAGGGCCUCCAAUCCCUAGUUGCCUUUUUACGACAAUUAGGGAUUCAAUCCCUGAGUUGAGGUUUUAUCCAUAGGGUCUCUAUUUCAUUGUCACAUAUUUACAAACAUUGGGGCUCCAAUCCAUGAGUUCAGUUCUAGACAUAGGGCCUCCAUUUCCUAGUCUCCUUUAAUCAACAUUAGGCUUCAAUCCCUGAGUUGAGUGUUUAGACAUAGGGCCUCCAUUCCCCAGUCGCCUUCUUACAAAUAUUACGGCUCCAAUCCCUAUGUUGUGAUUAUAAACAUAGGGCCUUCAUUCUCUAGUCGCCUUUUUAACAGUAUUAGGGCUCCAGUUCCUGAGUUGAGUUUUAGACGUAGGGCAUCCAUUUCCUAGUAACCUUUUCUACCAAUAUUAGGGCUCCAAUCAUUGUGUUGAAUUUUUAGACAUAGGGCCUCCAUUCCCUAGUCGCCUUUUUACCAACAUUAGGGCUCCAAUCCUUGAGUUAAGUUUUAGAUGUAGGGCCUCCAUUCCCUAGUUGCCUUUUUUGCCAACAUUAGGGCUCUAAUUCAUGAGAUGAGUUUUUAGACAUAGGGUCUUCAUUCCCUAGUCACCUUUUUGCAAAUAUUAGGGCUCCAAUCCCUGAGUUGACAUUUUAGAUAUAGGGCUCCUUUCCCAACCUUCUCCCUUAAAGAUAGACACAAUUCUUGUUUACUUUUUGAAAAAAAGGUAAAAAAAGAGAAGAGAAAGAGAAAAGAAAAAAGAGAGAAAAAAAUAGUGUUCUUUCUAAGAGUAGGCGUGGAGAGCUUUUUGCGGGGAAACUUGCAAGUACAGUUUGGGGGGAGGCAGGCGUCGACCCUACCUUAUGAGUAUUCGGACUAUAACAGUUCAGAUAUGUUCAUACUUUUGUCAUAAACAACUCAUGAAAUUUUCCUAGUGAAAACUGGGGCAGAAAAAUCUCGUUCGUUUGUUUGUUUUGGCAUCUGAGCAGGUUUGACUUUGAGGCGCAUGAGCUGAGGUAACCAAUAGAAUGAGUCUUAGUAAAGAAUAAAGAAAAGAAGAAAAAGAACAAAAUAAGUGAAUUCAAAAUGCUGAAGCGGACGGAGAUGCGCACUGUUCAUGAUAUGAUUGAAGUCACAAGUUUUUCAUGUCCCGCCUUGAUCCAAUGCUGAAGAAAUAACAAGUACCUACAACUUGCGAGCAUCAAGAUUCAGAUCGGUGUCCACAACAAGAAUAAGCUAAGACUUAAAAUGAAGCUUCAAUAGAUUUAUAGAUAGGAAUCUUAUAACUCGUAGUUGAUAGGCCUAGCUAGCUUAGCUUUUGAUUUUCCUUUUGGCGUAAUAAGGAGGUGGGAAAGCAGUAUCAGCAACAACAAUAGUAAAAUCACAGCUUUCCGGUAGUCCCAGCUACCAAAACAUCCAGCAUUGAAAUGAUUCCUUUAUAGUUAAGGAUAUGUAGCCAACCUUUGAAGCAAGGUUCAGUCAGACUCUUUUCAAAAUGCUUCUCAAUGGAGUGUCAAACGAGCAAAAUCUCUCAUAAUUGCUCAUUUAUCUUUGCCCGAAAACCCUUUGUCUCUGAGCAAAAAAGUGUAGCUGUGAGAAUGUGAGUUUUGCCUCACAUGAACUGCUCCUACAAAUUUUCCAAAAUUAGAAUUUUUCAUUUAAUUAUUUGGUAUUUAGGAAUUAUUGCAUAAUUUUCUUGUUUGUUUGCACUUUUGUGUGCUUAUUUAUUUUUAUUUAAUUCAUAAAAAAUACAAAAAUGUUGCAUUUGCAUUUAAGGAUUUAAUUCUACAUUUUUGGAUUAACUGAAAAAUUAGUUGUUUUAUAAAAAUGGAAAAAAUUACAAAAUAGCUUAUUUUGCACUUUUUAAUUUUAAUUUUGAAUUUUGGUAUUUUUCCUUUAAUUUGGGUUUUAACGAUUUGUAGUAACUGUUAUUUAGAGUUAGUUAAUUUAACUUGAUAGGAUAUUUUUAUUAGGUAUUAAGUUAGGUUUAUUUUAGUUUUAGUUUAAAAGAAAUUAGAAAAAGAAAGAAAGAAGAAAUGAAAAGAAAAGAAUACAAAAGAGGGAAGCCUGAUUUGGCUAAGUUAUUUCAAUUUCCCCAAGCCCCAACCAUUUAUUCAAUCAGUAUCCGCUCAAAGUCAGGCCCAGUCUUGCCCCUAACCCGGUCCAGCGUUUCCUCGGCUCUAGCGACAUAGUUUCAAGAUCCUCUGAGAUCAAUUAAUCUUGGCCUUUGAUCUUCCAGUAUCCAACAAUGAAAAUUCCAUCUUUAAUUAAAAUUAAUAUGUCCAAACCUAGUUCAAGCGAACCCUUUCAUCUCCCUCUAUAAUCUCUUUGAGAGUCCAAGAACCCUAACAAGCCACAAUUAGAUUCCCUCCAUCAUCUCCGGUGGCAGCAACACCAUAUACCACUCUAAUCCCACCAAACUAACACUCCAAAACCCUCUCCAUCUCCCUUAACCAAAGAUCAACCCUUUACUGUCAAAUCAACAUUAAACUCUUCGAAUCUUGAAUCUGAGUUUGACCCUUAGAAAUUCGAAGGCAUUUUUUGUCAAGUCUGGUAACAUGCACGAUCAUGGAGC